UGAAAUACAUUCUGCAACUUUUAAAAAAGGAGACAAAGAAAUUUCAAGAUGAAGUUUCCCUUUAGUGGACAGAGGCUGAGGGAGCUGGGACAUACAUGUUUUUCCUUCCAGAGAUCAAGCUUUGUGGGGAGGAAAAGAUCAUGGUUUGAGCCAACUUCUCCCAAAACACAAGGUGGGACCCUCUAAGACCACCAAAAACAACAGUGUUUUUUUAAACAACAUGAUGGGCUGAAACUGGCAACCACUGUUAAUGUCCACUGGAUAGGGAGCUGCUGAAUGUUAGAGGGUUUGGACAUCUGGCUACCCAAGAAGGCAUGGACAGAGGUUAACAGCUUUCAGCCUCCAUGAUUUGAAGAACUGUUGAACAAAUGAGGAAGGGAAAACUGAAGACACAAUCCACCAGAAAUCGAAAGAGCUCUCCAACUACAAAAGCAAGCAUGAGCUCAACCUUGGAACCUUCUUUUAACUUUGGUUUCCCAGGACUGUGGGGUAAGGACGUGCUCAUCUUCUGAGGAAGCCAAGAUCAUGUUUUAAUAAUAACAACUUUGUUCUGGAUUGAAUAAUCAUUUUCAUUGCUCCCAUUUAUAAACUACUGCUAUGCACCAUAUAUACUCACAGUGUGUCUAAUUUUUCAAUAGCUCUGCAAGGUUGUUAUAUGAUCUCCAUUUAGUGAACUUUGAAAAUCAGAGAUGUGAAUUCCUUUGCCUAACACCAUAUAGCUACAUCUCCAUAGAAUCAGAUUCAAAACGUGACUGCUCCAAAAUCACAUUCACCAAGCUGCCUUCAACACACACACACACACACACACACACACACACACACACACUCAGGAAUAUUAUUCAGCCAUAAAAAGGAACGAAGUGCUGAUAUGAUACAUGCUACAAGGAUGAACCUCAGAAACAUCAUGCUAAGUGAAAAAAGCCAGACACAAAAGGUCACAUAUUGUGUGUGAUUC